rnacentral:tRNA from 1 species
AGGGGUAUAGCUCAGUGACAGAGCACUUGCCUAGCACGUGUGAGGCCCUGGGUUCAAUCUCCAGCAUCCCCA